GACGAACGCUGGCGGCGUGCCUAAUACAUGCAAGUCGAACGGAGUGGCGCACGGGUGAGUAAUAUAUAGCUAAUCUGCCCCUUGCUGGAGGACAACAGUUAGAAAUGACUGCUAAUACUCGAUAGCAAGGGAUGAGACUAUAUCGGAUCAGCUAGUCGGGGGGGUAACGGCCUACCGAGGCGAUGACGCGUAACAGGUCUGAGAGGAUGAUCAGUCACAUUGGAAGGGAGGCACGGUCCGGGAACCUACGGGAAGGAGCAGUAGGGAAUAUUGCGCAAGGGGGGAGACCCUGGCGCAGCAUCGCGGCGUGGAGUAUGACACGUUUCGAGGAGUAAACUCCUUUUGUUAGGGAAACGGUACCUACCGAAUAAGCACCGGCUAACUCCGUGCCAGCAGCAGCGGUAAUUC
rnacentral:rRNA from 1 species